rnacentral:lncRNA from 1 species
AACCAUCAUCCAAACAAAUCAGUAUAAAUAUAUUUUGAUUUUGGCUAAAUUACAGAAAACUUUUCUAAGAAUAUCCGAUUUUUCAUUUUCUUUUUUAUCAUUCAAAAAUUCACACUUUAUCCGUUUAAAAAAUAAAAAAUAUUAACAGAAAAUACGCUGCGACAAAAUGACCAAAUUAUCUCUCAUUUUCUUCUGGGUGGGCGUGGACGGAGAGGUCGGCGAGGGCGAGGGCGAGGGCGAGUGCGAGGGUGAGUUAGCGGAGGCAGGCGAGGGCGUGUGUGUAGGCAUGGGAAGAGAGGCGAGGGUGAGACGGCGCGGCCGAGGAUGAGAAAAGAGGAAGGUUUCAGCAGUAUUUUGGAUAUAAAAAAGGGACAUAAACGGAACCCUAUUGUAAUACUGACGGUGAGAUCAAAGUGAACAUUUUUUAUUUUUUAAGGGGAUAAAAUGUAGAUUUUUGAAUGAGGAAUUUGAAAAAGCGGGUAUUAAAAGGAAGAUUUUUUGUAAUUUAGGCUUUGAUUUUUGGCACGAUUUCUUUAGUUUUAUGCUAUUAGG